UCCACUUCCACCACGUCGUCGACCCGUGCCGCCUCCCCUGCGCUUGCCGCUGCUAUUUUCCGCCUCCUUCCGCGUAUUGCCCUCUCCAAGUGGAACCCGUCCAAGCGCGGGACCUUUUUCCGCUCGCUGUCUCCGGCCUCGGCACCGGCGAGCUCGCGCCCAUGGAGGAUGCCGUCGGCGAGCCCGCAGUCAUGGAGGGAGUCAUCGGUGAUAUUUCCCGCGACGGAUUCCGUAUCGACUCGGCCAACGGCAACGCCUUCAUGCGCCAGUUCUUUGGUCUUUUAUUGUUCUUGCUCAUAAGAUUGUGAACUCAUUUUUUUUUCGAUAACAAAGAUUGUGAACUCAUGCAUUCUUCCGUCAGGUUCUGAACCAUCACCAUGCAAUCUCUUGUUUUUAUUACAUGGCCUAUCAACCUGUUUUGGUUCAAUGAUGUUUGUCUCUAAUUUUGCUUCCAUUGAUUCUGGUUUUCCCGUGCCUUUUUAUGUAUAGGUCCGUUUAUGAAUGCGUGCAGUGGUCCCGUCGCCUCCACCGGUUCCGCGUCUGCAUCUUCGUCUUGACAAUGUUAUUGGCUGGUAGAUGAUCUGGUUCUCUUGCUGCUAUGCGUGCAGGGGCGUGAAAGAUCUGCAGGUUGUGGAAGUGCUGCUACGCUUGCAAGGCGAGGUACACCACUAGGUCGUGGAUAGACUAUGGAGUAGGUCUCCACUCUAUACGUGCAUGAGGCCGCGGUCUCAGCUGUUCAAUAUUUGCAUGUUCUGCCUUCUACUUGGCUUAGUUAAAAUUGGGGAGGCGUGCAUCAGAAACUAAGAGCUGCAGAGUUAUCGGCAUUAAACUGACUACUGGUUCCUGUUUUAUCUGAAUUUGCUAGCUGAUGAAUUGAGAUCAAUGGUAUGUCUGAAAUGUUUCUAGGUAUUCUGAAUUUUAGUGUUAUUGCCUUUCAUCCUAUAAAGUGCCUGUAUUAUAAAUUCACUACUGUACAUGUUGCCGGUGAAUUUGUCACUGGACAGGAAUACACUGGAUGGUUAGUUUAUGCACAUUUUACUGUUACAUUUAUUCUUCUUGUUUUUUUUUUUAAAUUGACAGGUUUUCUGACAGGAUGAUUUCAAUACACACGUUCCUCAGAUUAGGCAGACACAUUUGUGUGCGGUGGUGAGUUAGGACUGUUCGUGGCUUCCCAUGUCUUCAAAUACGACCAAGAGUACGACAAAGAAGAUCCAGUAUGAGUUCAGUAUCAUGGCUUUGGCCAUUAUGAUUCCCUACAGAUUGCACACCGAUCUGCAAUGAUAAGAAUGUAUAAUAUUGGAGUUCGAAAUUCAAAAGGUAUGGUCAAGGUAUUAUAGUCUUUGUCUUUCCAUAUCUAUACAUUGUUGAGUGAUACAGUGAGAGUGAAUUUUAAAUUUUUAGCCUCAAUGUGCAUUACAAGCUUUGCAGCAUUAGCUAUGUCAAGAACCCAGAUUCGGAUGUCCUUUGUUGAACUAGAAUGAAUGAUAGUGGACAAACCAUACUUCAAAAAUAUUUUUCAAACGUUCCUUUGAUCUACUUUGAAUGUAUCAUGAUGCCUCUUCGGCUUUUGUUUAACAUUACGGGAUCUUGGAUUGCGUAAACGAUGCCAUUAUGAUAUGUACUCCCUCCGGUUGGAUUUAAUCGACGCGGAGGGAGGCUUCCGCAUGCAUCUCAUUAGCAGGAGUGUGCGUCAAUUAAUUGAGCCCGAGGUAGUAAUAUUCAGUUCAAUAUUUCCUUUGGCUGUUAAUUUUUAGAUACCUACACGGAAAUUUGUGUUUGAGUACUUUUUUUUUGGAAAACGAUAUGAUUCGAGCAAAAGCUAACUACAACAUAUCAUAUCUCUUUUUUCUCUAUAAGCAUACAUCUCUUUCAGAAAUGCACAUGGAUAGGAGAAAGAAGUUAAAUCGUAUGAGAUGAUUCUUAUUGUUCUAUUUUUUUGUGGUCUACUGAUAUAUUUUGGAUUCUUUUCAUCUGUUGUAUUUCUUUUAGGUUUGCAUAGGAAUUGUUCAACUGUUCCUGGACCUUUGCCCUUAAUUGAUUGGUAGACACGUUUAUCUGCUGGUUAGCCUUUGAUGGUGAUAACCCUUUCUUUAUUUACAGUGUUAGUUUCAUGCAGAUGAAACUAGGUAACUUACAUCUCUCUGUUGCUGCACAUUUUGAGCUAAACAGACUUCUUGUCAUGUGCUUCUCUAUUUCGUCUGAUGGAUUAUUUUAUCUGUCACUUCUAUACCUUGGCACAUCUGUAGUUCUUUGUUAGUUCAAAUCUUAAAGUAAGCUUCAGUUAAAUAAAAUAUGUUUCAUCUGACCAUAAGACAUUAAUUCUAAACUUUUCUCCUUGCAGUAAAUACCAAGAUUUCACCUCCAGCAACAGGUAAGCUAACCUAAAAGAGAGAAGGAAAUAAGUAUUCAAACUGAUGGGGCAGAUAAUCUGCAUCGAGGUAUCCAUUUUGUCAGCACCUGCCAUCGAAAAUACCGUGUAAAAUGUUAUCCUUCUACCUACUGAUUUAGCAAGUCUAAAAACUAUCAAUGUGCCCUCAUAUCAAUCCCUUAAGUAUCCAUAUAAUGCUACACAUUUUUUAACCACCUACCUAUUGCUGUAAAAAGCCUGCACACUACCAAUGAACCCUAACAUCAAGUAGGUAAGUAUCCAUGCAUAAGCAUAAUAUUUUUGUACUCGGUUUGGUCCCAAUGUGCUUAAGUAUCCCAUUUCAUUGAUUUUCUGAACCAUCAAUAAUCGAGAUGGGAUUUCCAGUUGGUUUAGGGUCACAUAUAUUAUGCCUCAGUAUGUAGAGUUCUCAAAUAAAUCAUGACUAGGAGGUAUUCCGCCUUUUGCUAUUUUGUUUUUGUUUUGAUUCACUAUCUUCUGAAUCUACUCAUUCUGUUCCUUCUUCAGUUGUUUUACGUCCAUAUGUCUUUUGCUCUUUUUUCUUGAACAUACAAAGCAGUUUGUUAGUUUUGGAAUUUGUGUAUUGUGAUUAAAGUAGGGAACACCCUGUAUUUUUCAGAUUUUUUAUCUAUACAGUUACAUAUGUGGCAUUUUUAAAUUUAUCAAGGUGUUAUGGCAUUCAUCCUUGAGACCAAGAUGCAAAAUGCCAAGCAACAGUGUAAUAUAAAAAGCUCAUUGUUUGUCUAAGCUGGCACUUACAGAAAAGGUAUUCGUGGCUAAAUGUCUACUGAAAGCAGAAUUACAGGGACUGAAACAGGAUUCCUUACAGAGGGAGAAAAAAGGUCUACGGCAUGUCUCCACAAAGUGACAUACAUAGAAGCCAAGGAAAGCAACAAAAUGAAGGGCUGACAAUAAAAAUGUAUUUAAUUAAUUCAUAUAUUCAGUAAUAUAUGCACAUGUUACCACUCACUAUGUUGAUUUUGUGAUAUAUCGAAUUUUUUUUUUUUGAAACGAGUGGCAAAAGAUUUGCCACUUUUCAUUAAUUA